CACCCAUUCCCGUCGACAGCCAGAGAGAAGGAAGGGAAGAAAGGAAAAGAGAGAGAAGAGGGAAGGAGAAGAAGGAAGGGAGGAAGAGCAAUCCUCCACCGAUUGGAGUGAUUCAAAAGCCUAAACCACUCUAAAUCUUUCCCUCUUUCAUAAUCUAAGCUUAGUUUUGAGUGGGGAGCAUUGUGGAGUGAGAUAUUGCCUCUCAAAAAUUCGGCCCUUUGGAGAAAUUGAGGUGUUUGAGAGCUUCAACCUCCAUUGAAGCUUGAGGAGCCAUCAAUCCUUGGUUGUGCAACCAUUGGUGAUUGAGGCAAUUGGACCAACCUUGAGAGACCAACCAUUGGAGCAAGCUAUGGAGCUUGAUUAGCUCCAUUGGAUAGGUUUUGUUUGAGAAGAAUGAUUAUUGUAAUUGACUGCUGAAACUGUUGGUGAAGAACAAAGGUUGACUGAAGCAUUGAGGUAAGGAUGCUGUAGGAGCCUUUGGUGGCAAGUGACCAUAUCUGGAUUAGCAUAUGCAUGAAGUGUUGCAUUUUUUUGAGAUUAUACAUGUUGUUUUGUAGCUCACAUGUAUACAAUUGUAAUGAUAGGCAAAGAUAGAUUUAUGAUUGGUAUAUUGGAAUGGACUUAGCCUAUGCUCAUGCCUUUGGUCAUCUCUUUUGUUGAUGGUAGCCAAGGGAAUGAUCAUAAUGUUUGUAAGCUAAGUUCCAUGAUUUGUAAUGAAUAUGUACUGUAAAUGAUGCCUACUUGAAAUUCAAU